CCUCAAGAACUCAUCUGAACUCUAAGUCCUUUGAUUGUUCCUCUUCUAGUAAUUUUGGAUUCAUACUUACUCAAGACUCAAGUAACUAAUCUAUCUAAAAAAUAUGUCUCAUGCGCCAUUCAGUGAGCCCUAAUUUACAAGGCCCACUUGUUUUACUUUGCGGCACAUAAAGCUUCUCCUUUUGAACCCUGAUUGAUUGGCUACC
rnacentral:lncRNA from 1 species